CCUACGGGAGGCAGCAGUAGGGAAUAUUGCUCAAUGGGGGAAACCCUGAAGCAGCAACGCCGCGUGGAGGAUGAAGGUUUUCGGAUUGUAAACUCCUUUUGUUAGAGAAGAUAAUGACGGUAUCUAACGAAUAAGCACCGGCUAACUCCGUGCCAGCAGCCGCGGUAAUACGGAGGGUGCAAGCGUUACUCGGAAUCACUGGGCGUAAAGAGCGCGUAGGCGGGAUAGCAAGUCAGAUGUGAAAUCCUAUGGCUUAACCAUAGAACUGCAUUUGAAACUGUUAUUCUAGAGUAUGGGGGAGGGAGGUGGAAUUCUUGGUGUAGGGGUAAAAUGCGUAGAGAUCAAGAGGAAUACUCAUUGCGAAGGCGACCUGCUAGAACAUAACUGACGCUGAUGCGCGAAAGCGUGGGGAGCAAACAGGAUUAGAUACCCCAGUAGUC
rnacentral:rRNA from 1 species